rnacentral:rRNA from 1 species
UACGUAGGGGGCAAGCGUUGUCCGGAAUCAUUGGGCGUAAAGAGCGUGUAGGCGGUUCGGUAAGUCGGCUGUGAAAGUCCAGGGCUCAACCCUGGGAUGCCGGUCGAUACUGCCGGACUAGAGUUCGGAAGAGGCGAGUGGAAUUCCCAGUGUAGCGGUGAAAUGCGUAGAUAUUGGGAGGAACACCAGUGGCGAAGGCGGCUCACUGGCCCGGUACUGACGCUGAGGCACGAAAGCGUGGGGAGCAAACAGGG